rnacentral:rRNA from 1 species
CAGUAGCCACGGUAAAACGGAGGGUGCAAGCGUUACUCGGAAUCACUGGGCGUAAAGGACGCGUAGGCGGAUUAUCAAGUCUCUUGUGAAAUCUAACGGCUUAACCGUUAAACUGCUUGGGAAACUGAUAAUCUAGAGUAAGGGAGAGGCAGAUGGAAUUCUUGGUGUAGGGGUAAAAUCCGUAGAGAUCAAGAAGAAUACCCAUUGCGAAAGCGAUCUGCUGGAACUUAACUGACGCUAAUGCGUGAAAGCGUGGGGAGCAAACAGGAUUAGAUACCCCCGUAGUCCCUGUCUCUUAUAC